UCCAGACUGAAAAGCAGUCCAUCUUUCGAUUUAAAACGCCUCUGGAAGGAAGGUGACAUCAAAAGCUGGUUACAAGGACGUAACUUACGAAUUUCCCGGAAUAACCGAGCGCGGAAGCUGGCCCCAACAGCCGGACCAUGCAAACGCCCUGCAGCGUUUCCCACCCCUUGCCUCCGGCGGGCCAAGUCCUGCCCGGCACGGCCCCAGCGCGGCGGCAGAGGCGGAGCGGAGCGGAGCACCUCGGCCCGGCUUUCCGUAGCCCCGCAGCGACACUCAGCGGCCCCGGCCUCGGUGCUGAGGUGCCAACGCCGAGCACCAGGGAACGCGCUGCACUUCCUUCUGGCAACGAAAAGGGGUGAUCAAUCACUUCUCCCAAAAGGGCAAACUAAGGCAAAACGGAGUCUGAACCAGCUCUGCAGAGCGCUUUUCCCUAUGCAUAGAUAUGAGUGCUUUGUUUAAAGGCGUACUAAGAAAUCUAUUAGUAUCAGCGUUCCUUUGACAGACUGUGAAAGCAAUUAGCAGAGCCUGUACGUACACAGCCUUCGACUACGAUUUUUUUCACGAGGCUAGCUGAUACUUGGCUGAGCUUGGCUGUAGGUAAACAAAGUACAGAAUCAGCUUGAGCUACCAUUUUUAAUAAUAUAGUUUGUAUCAGGCCAAGAGAUUACAAUGAUAAAAGCAUGACUCAAGCCCUAGCUGCACUGCAGCUUAAUCUUUUCAGUUAUUCUAAUAAAAAAAAGGGCAUCAGCUGUAACAUGCAUUUUACUUAACUGCCAAAUCUUCUUCUGCAGCUUAACUCUUACCAAAAGUACGUGAUCUGCUCUUACAAUAAGAGAGAUUAGGAUUGUUGUAUUUCUGAAUAAUUACAAAGAUGGUUUAAGCAGUGAGAGACCAGAGAAUGUUUAGUCAGUUCUGGCUGACAGUGUGAAAUUGUUAAAACUUCUGAGAUUAUUAUUUAUGUAAGGCUAUUUAUGAAAAUUUUCAUUUAAUGAUAAGAAAGUAUGAAAAGAUACAUCAACAGACCAGUUAUUUACUUUGUACAAAAACCUUGCAGCUGCUUCUCCUGAAGCCUGGGUCCCACUCCCCAGCGGUGUGCUCACUGGUAGGAUUCUGCAGGACAGUGAGGAACAGGCUGUGGCCAGGCAGCUGGAAAGCCAUAGGAGAAAUAUUGUCUGGGGAUCUGUUGAGGCUGUAAAACUCCCCAUGUGCUAUCAUUCUUGAAAAGUGUUAUUCCACUGAAUGGGUUUCAGUUAUAAAAAAUGGUGAUUUAUUUUAAACACUGAUUAUAUAAUUGUUUGCAUAUUUUAGCCAAAUUUGAAUAAUAUUUAAGAACCUAUUUUUAGACCUAAUAAAAUUCUUAAUAAGACUAAAUGGCUGUUCCCAAUUUAGUGCAAUUAAAAAUAAUAUAUCAGGUCUGGGAUUUUGCUUCUUGUUAUCUUGUGGUGUCAUUUAUCGUUCUCUGGAGUGAGAAGAAAGACAAAGCAAGCCAGACUUCCCCAGGACGUUUCAUGACAGUGCAGUCCCCUCGCUUCCUGAUGGCAUUUAGUGCUCCCUUAGGUCCAAGCACCAGAGCAUGCAUUGCUCACAUCUAAACAUUGCAGGUGCAGUGUAGAAGCAUUUAUAACUGUUGGCACAUGUGCAUUAGGAAUUUCUCCUUACUCUGCAAAAAACAUGGCAGUAAAGCUGAAGAAUAAGUUGUAGGGGUGGGGAGUCACACUGUCGCACUGCAUUAUUUUAACCAGCAUGGCUGUAAUGGGUGGGUGAUGCAAGUAUCUGUUGAUAGCUUCUGCAGUGACUGAUGUAGGCAAUAAACCUGAAAUUGUUUUACAUAAGUUAUCCUAUUAGCCACACCAAGCAAAUAAAAAGCAAGAACAUUAUAGAAAUAAGCUGCAACAGGCCAUACGUCAUUAUGCUAUUGGUAUAGGCGUCAGGUAUUUUG
ensembl:lncRNA